GUGUACCACUACGGAAACAUCACCACUAGGAUUUCAUUUGGAAAGAACAGUUAUUAUUCUGUCUUUAUCUUCCUGCUGUAUCUUUGGUAUUGGUUUCUUUGAAUGAGAGUUAUGAAAAUGUAUCUUAUUUUGAAUCAACCCUCUGAGACUUAUCUAAACUCAUAAAAUGUCUCCUCAAAUUCAUGUUUAAACAACCAAGAGUCAUGAUUAACAACAUAUUAUUGAGAAGACCUUGAUUGUUUCUAAGAGAGUAGUUCUGUUUUUAUUUCAUCUUUAUUUAACCAGGUAGGCUAGUUGAGAGCAAGUUCUCAUUUACAACUGCGACCUGGCCAAGAUAAAGCAUAGCAAUACGACACAUACAACAACACAGAGUUACACAUGGAAUAAACAAAACAUUCAGUCAAAAAUACAACAGAACAAAAGAAAACAAUGUUUAUGUUUAAUGUUUUGUCCAGAAACCAGUCCUCCCGAGCACUCCUCUUCCCCUCCACCUCCUGAAGACUGUGAUGAUGCCAGAACACCUGAUGUCGACUGUGGGCUGUGUUGGAUGUUGCUGUUCAGUCUGUGUCCUGUGUCUGCUCUCCUCUCCUCCCUCCUCUCCUCCACUUGCGUCUACUCCUUCUACAAACAACAGCUCCAGCUGAGACUCCACCAGGGGAAGUGACAGCAGAGAGCAGACUACAGUCAAAAUGGGUGUUGUAGUUUUAUUAUGGGUAGCCAUCUUGAUUUGUAGUCCAUGUAUUAGUCUUGGCCUAUUUCUCUGUCUGUCUGUCUCUCUCUCUCACUCUCUCUAUCUGUCUCUCAGGAAGAAGGACCUGUUUUAUGGAUUGUUGGAUAUCCGUCAGGAACAGAGGAGACCAAAGAAGAAGAAGAGAGUCCAGAACGCUGACUUCAGUACCUACUCAGCCAUCAAUACCAGCAGAGUGUGAGACCUAUACCAGUCAUCAAUACCAGCAGAGUGCGACCUAUACCAUCCAUCAAUACCAGCAGAGUGUGAGACCUAUACCAGCCAUCAAUACCAGCAGAGUGUGACCUAUACCAGCCAUUAAUACCAGCAGAGUGUGAGACCUAUACCAGCCAUCAAUACCAGCAGAGUGAGACCUAUACCAGCCAUCAAUACCAGCAGAGUGUUAGACCUAUACCAGCCGUCAAUACCAGCAGAGUGUUAGACCUAUACCAUCCAUCAAUACCAGCAGAGUGAGACCUAUACCAGCCAUCAAUACCAGCAGAGUGUGAGACCUAUACCAUCCAUCAAUACCAGCAGAGGGAGACCUAUACCAGUCAUCAAUACCAGCAGAGUGUUACCUGUACCAGCCGUCAAUACCAGCAGAGUGUGAGACCUAUACCAUCCAUCAAUACCAGCAGAGAAUGAAACUUACACCAUCUGUCAAUACCAGCAGAGUGAGACCUAUACCAGCCAUCAAUACCAGCAGAGUGUUAGACCUAUACCAGCCGUCAAUACCAGCAGAGUGUGAGACCUAUACCAUCCAUCAAUACCAGCAGAGAAGAAGACUUACGCCAUCUGUCAAUACCAGCAGAGUGAGACCUAUACCAGUCAUCAAUACCAGCAGAGUGAGACCUAUACCAGCCAUCAAUACCAGCAGAGUGUGAGACCUAUACCAACAUUGCUGGGAGGACGAGAAACCAGUCCUCCCGAGCACUCCUCUCCCCCUACCUCCUGAAGACUGUGAUGAUGCCAGAACACCUGUUGUUGACUGUGGGCUGUGUUGGAUGUUGCUGUUCAGUCUGUGUCCUGUGUCUGCUCUCCUCCCUCCUCUCCUCCACUUGCGUCUACUCCUUCUACAAACAACAGCUCCAGCUGAGACUCCACCAGGGGAAGUGACAGCAGAGAGCAGACUACAGUCAAAAUGGGUGUUGUAGUUUUAUUAUGGGUAGCCAUCUUGAUUUGUAGUCCAUGUAUUAGUCUUGGCCUAUUUCUCUGUCUGUCUGUCUCUCUCUCUAUCUGUCUCUCAGGAAGAAGGACCUGUUUUAUGCAUUGUUGGAUAUCCGUCAGGAACAGAGGAGACCAAAGAAGAAGAAGAGAGUCCAGAACUCUGACUUCAGUACCUACUCAGCCAUCAAUACCAGCAGAGUGUGAGACCUAUACCAGCCAUCAAUACCAUCAGAGUGUGAGACCUAUACCAUCCAUCAAUACCAGCAGAGUGAGACCUAUACCAGCCAUCAAUACCAGCAGAGUGAGACCUAUACCAGUCAUCAAUACCAGCAGAGUGUGACCUAUACCAUCCAUCAAUACCAGCAGAG
rnacentral:lncRNA from 1 species